UGCAUCCAUCCAUCUCCGCCCUGCCGCUCACGGCCGUGCAUCCAUCGGUGGCCACCAAAACAGGUUGCCCCGCUCGGUCGGUGACUUGAUCAGCCGUGACCCCGCCCCUAGGACAAGACAAUGGGUGCUCCAUGCCCACACUUCUCUCCUACUUGUACGUGAAUGAAUGAUUUUCAGGUAACUAUAACUGGUGCUACAUUUUGUGAUGGCAAGACAUAGGCCAAUUAAAGAGGCCCUGGCCUGAAUCCACAUGCCCUUGCUCAGAAACAAUCACCGCCCCCCCUGCACUGCACUGCGCCCGACGUCAGGCGUCCUACCGCGCUGUCGCAGAGGUGGCUCCAACACGUAGGAGGACAUGUGGCCUUUCCUUGUCCUACCGUCGCGUUCGCUACGAAUCCAUUUGCAAGAAUCUAAUCUACGCUCAGAUUGUCUUGGCGCCGGUCCACCUUCUCUUCUUUAUACAACCGCAUUCCGCAGGUGCCUGAAUGAUUUAUACGCACGCAAGCGUGUCCUGCUGACAAGUCACAACUCACAACAGCAGCAUUGAUAAUCUGAUUGAUACAGGUUCCUGUACAUUAGUAGUACUCCAUUCGUUCUUAAAUAUAAGAAAGAUUACAUACGGAUAUGUAUAGUCAUAUUUUGUUUCAUACGUAUGUAGUUUUUUUAGUGAAAUCUCUAUAAAAAUUUAUAUUUAGAAA